ensembl:lncRNA
UUUUUUUUUUUUUGAAUGUAGCAUAGAAGAUAAUUGAAGUAAAAGAGACUCUAAUCCCAGGGCUGCAUGAAUUCUCUGAAUUCAAUUACACUUUCAUGACACAGCUUGUUAUAUGUUGAGAAAUAAAAGGGCAUCCCAGGAAAAAAAAAUCACAGUAUUUUAACUGUGAUCAAGAUGGAUGAUAAUGGAUAAUGGAUCUAGAUAUAUGCAGAAUUCCUUCCUGUCACCUCAUAAUAAGCAGAGUUUCAUUUUUUUUUCUUCCUUUAGGAGAAGCUGCCAAUAUGACAUAUUUAACUAUUGCAGAUUUGCAGAAGCAUGAGCAGAGGAAAUUUGAGCCUGAAAUAUUUGCCUAAAAUAAUGAAGAUUUAUGGCUAUGUUGAUAGUCUUGAAUCUUUCCCAUAUAGAUGCUAAAAAGGGUCAGUUGUUUUUCUGGCAAGUCUUGAGAAAGAAUGUGUUAUAAACCUAAUGACUUAAUUUUGCUUUAUAUGCCAGUUAAUGUAGGUGCUUUGUGGACAAUUUGAUAUCAAAUGUAUAGUUUAGAGACAAAGAGGCUUUGAACCAAAAUGCACGUUCUUAGAGAGAGUCCUGAUUUUAACUGUUAUUUAUUAAAAAUAUAUGUUGUCUCCCUUCCUUGGUUAGUUAGAAAUUACCAGGGCUGUCUUUGAUAUCAGUAAGAAAUAUACAGGUCUUGUUGAGAAAGAGAGAUAAGAGAUGGAAGGGAAUGAAAUCUGUCAAGGUCCCUCACAUAUUAACUAAUAUUCUGUAUGUGCAUGAGGAAAAGAUUCAAAAUAGUUCAGAUGUGUUGAGGAAAUUGAAAUGUGUUUUGGGAAUUUAACCUUGGUGCAAAUACAUUACCAUCUUUUGUAUUUGUUGGGGUUUUUUGGGGGUGUUUUUUUUUGGGGGGGUGUGUUUGUUUUUUGGGUUUUUUUGGUACAUUGCGAACACAUUUGUUUGCAUUUUACAUUAACCUGAUUUGAAUCCAUGAGGUGACUGCCUACUGGCAAAACAUUUCCUUGUGCCAAGUAUGGUAAAGCUGAGGCCACAGUGUUAACAAACAUCUUCUGUCCUCAUAGAGGCUGUGUGGGUGCCUUGUGGGCUGGUGUCCUCAGCUCACUCAGGGAUCAGGGAGAAUCCCUGGCUCUUAGAGUUCCUCUGGAAUUUUCAUGAGGUGGAUGUGUAGAAACUGCCCUCUUACUCAGAAGGGCCCAUCCAAUGACGAUUGAUAGCUAGGAAAAAAAUAAAAAUAUUAUGGUUUUCUAAAUUGGAAUGUUUUUAAUGCAGGAGCUUUGUAAUAGCUACACUGAAAAAAAAAUAAAAGGUAUUUAUUUGGACACAUUCAUACACAUAGAUUGCUUAACUUCUUAGUAGCAUUUUAGCAGUGGAGUACAGCAACUAAUAAAAACUGCACUGUCAUAAAGAGUGUUUAAAGGUUACUCCAAAGCUGGACAGGACACAGUAAUUUUUAUUUCCCAUUAUACAGCUCAUUCUGCUAUUACUGCCUAGUAAAGGAGCUCUUGCAGUUUCACAAGCAGUAGGUCUGGGAAACGCUGACAUCAUUUACUUUACAGGCUUUUUGAGGAGAUUUUUUAAUGUGGUGGCAGAUGAGAUCACAUCUGUGAUGCAGCACUGUUGUUCUUACUUCAUCCAAAUCAGGAGUAAAUCAUGCCCUGGGUUUGAACAGGAUUGCAGCCUGUAAAAACUAUUCAAAAACACCAGGUGGAGAACAUGACAAGGCAGAACAGGGAAGACAGAGACACAAAUUCUUAUUGAAAUGAACAAUUAUAAUAACAUAACAGCUCCUAGGGCUGUGAUGUGAGGGCAGCAUCUGCCGAAUGUGAUGUGGGCCAGGAAUUAGAACUCAGAAAAGAAGGAGCACUAAGGUGGAAGAGGGCAGGAGGAAAAAAGCAUCUCAGAUGUACUGACUGGAGAUGAGGGAAUGAGGCCACUGCGUUUAACAACUAGAUGCAGACUCAGGUUUUGUUCUUCAGCUCGCCACAGGCCUCUUGAAUGACCUUGGGAAAAUAAUUUCAUUUCUUAUACCUCAUUUUCACACUCUUUUUCUGUCUUGCCUACUUAAAUUUCAGGUAUUUAGGACUGGGUCUAUGUAUUUAGAGAAUGGAGAAGCUUAUGAUGAAUUUAUUGGAACAUAUUGAUGUGAUAUGAAUAAUGCAUUGGAAUGAUGCACCAUCCUAAUGACAGUUUACACAGGAUCCCUUCUUCCUGCAGGGAAUGUUAAAUAACCUCUGUGGCAGGGGUGGAUCUUUGAAUUGCUGUGCUUUGCCUAAAGCUGCUCACCCAGUUUAUGACAGGAAUGCAGUGUCUACCCAGCUUGUAGGGUCAGGCCAGUGCUUCCCAAUUAACUGAGCUGUCAGGUUUGAAAGAGUAAAUAAUUCCCUGGAAGCAUGUGUGUUUAAAUGCAAGGCAUAGCUGUGUGACCCUUCAUAUGGGGAAACAGAGGAAUGAUAAAUUUCUGCCACAGGAAAAGCUUUUUCUUCGGCUGAGACACUCAUUAAGAUCCAAUGCCUCUUGGGGGCUUAUGGGGCAGUUCAGGUUUAAUGUCUGCCCCUUCCCUGCCUCCCAACAUACACCAUGGCUGUCUUCACAAGUCUUAGCAUAAACACUUAUUUCCUCUGACCCCAGGAGAAGGGGAAAAAUGAUCAGAGACAUUUUUGCUGAUGCUUUGAUGUGGGGCUGUGGAGCAGUGACAGGAAGGAGACAAAGUUAACACUGUAGUGUGCUCCUGACUGACAAAGUGCUGGAAUCAGAGCUGAGACAAAGCAUUCAUAUUUAAAAAAAAAAAAAAAAAAAAAAAAAAAAAAAAGAAGUA